rnacentral:rRNA from 1 species
UACGUAGGGGGGCAAGCGUUGUCCGGAAUCAUUGGGCGUAAAGAGCGUGUAGGCGGCCCGAUAAGUCCGCCGUGAAAGUCCAGGGCUCAACCCUGGAAUGCCGGUGGAAACUGUCGGGCUGGAGUCCGGAAGAGGCGAGUGGAAUUCCUGGUGUAGCGGUGAAAUGCGCAGAUAUCAGGAGGAACACCAAUGGCGAAGGCAGCUCGCUGGGACGGUACUGACGCUGAGACGCGAAAGCGUGGGGGAGCAAACAGG